CCUACGGGUGGCAGCAGUAGGGAAUAUUGCUCAAUGGGGGAAACCCUGAAGCAGCAACGCCGCGUGGAGGAUGAAGGUUUUCGGAUUGUAAACUCCUUUUGUUAGAGAAGAGAAUGACGGUAUCUAAAGAAUAAGCAACGGCUAACGCCGUGCAAGCAGCCGCGGUAAUACGGAGGGGGCAAGCGUUACUCGGAAUCACUGGGCGUAAAGAGCGGGUAGGCGGGAGAGCAAGUCAGAUGUGAUAUCCUAUGGCUUAACCCUAGAACUGCAUUUUAAACUGUUAUUCUAGAGUAUGGGAGCGUUAGUUGGAAUUCUUGGUGUCGUGGUCAACUCCGU
rnacentral:rRNA from 1 species